UCCACCACCAUCGAGGCAGGAUGUACGGCGGUGCUCUCCCUCCUCCUCCACCUCCUGAGUAUUCCUGGCGGGCAGCGAUGAGCAAGCAGAAGAGACGCAACGCCUUCUUCUUCUACUUCAUGAUGGCCAUGAAACCCGAAGUGGAGGAGCGGCUCAAGAGAAAGGUGGAGAUGGCCAAGCUGGUGACGGCGGAGUGGCAGGUCAGCCUGAUAAAGAGAUAGAAAUUUUGGCCAAGGAGUUCCAGAAGUUACUGCAGGAUUCGGAAGCGCCCGCCGAGGAUGUCAAUUCCCGUGUCCUAAGGAGCGGGUCAACUCAUGACAGAGUUCCUCCUCCUCCUCCUCCUUCUUCUCUCCCGCAUGAUAACAAAGGCACUCCCAGAGGAACAGUGGAAGAAGUACCAGCUGAUGACCGGAGAAAGCAGGGAGAGGCUGGAUUGCCGAGGGGUGACGCUGCGCUGCCUUGACGAGGCUGCCCAGGAGAAAAAGCACCAGGCCGAGGAGAUGAAGAGGGACAUUGUCGACUUGGUGGACAUUAUAGGGACCAUUAAGAAACAUGAUCCACCACCGCCUGGUUAAUAUGUGCCGCCGACGAUCUGUUCAGCAGGAUGCAGCGUGCUCUGAGGCGACCCCGGGCAGGAGGCAACAUGUGACCUCGUGCGCCAAACCUUUGACCUCUGUUCAGGAGCAGACUCGUCUCGUCUGGUCUCCCCCAGCAUCCAGGCAGCAUCUUGAAGGCCUGACUGGUUCCUUCGGCUCAGUGGUCUCGUCUCUGUCUCCCUCCCUG